rnacentral:rRNA from 1 species
UACAUUUAACGGCCGCGGUAUCCUAACCGUGCAAAGGUAGCGUAAUCACUUGCCCCUUAAUUAGGGGCCUGUAUGAACGGCUAACUGAGGGCCUACCUGUCUCUUGCAGCAAGGAAAUGAAACUGAUCUCCUAGUACAAAAGCUAGAAUACUCCCAUAAGACGAGAAGACCCUGUGGAGCUUACAAACACUAUUGCUACGCUACCAUUAACCCCCCCCCCAAUCACACUAGCAAUAAUUUUUAGUUGGGGCAACUAUGGAGUAAAACAAAACCUCCACGCACCAACUCACCCUUACCCCAGGCUCACCGGCCACACCCAAAAAGACCCAGCACCGCUGAUCAUCGAACCAAGUUACCCCAGGGAUAACAGCGCCAUCCUCUUCUAGAGUCCCUAUCGCCAAGAGGGC